GGCCUGGUGGUGUACUGGUAACACACCCUCCUGUUUUGGGUGGACCAGGGAUCACGUAGGAGGAAGUACCCCGUUCGAUUCGGGGCCAGGCCA